AAAAAGUGGAUAGGCAUACAUUCCAUUGGCCACACACAGAUUGACUGAGGCUCUCUCACCAAAAGAAAAGAAAAACAGAAUAAAAAAUAAAAAUAAAAAAGAGAGGAACAAGAUUAUUCCUCUUCGUCCUCAACCACACACUCUCUUCUUCUUCUUCAAACACAUAGCUGCUCUCCUUCACAAACCACAGCCAAACGCCCCACCCUUCUUCCCUCAACCGCGCCGUCGAAAUCCCAUCACCUCCGCCGUUCUCACGUGGGACCCUCACAAACACCUCCGUCUUCACGCACACCUCCGUGAAGUCUCAACCUCCCGACAACACAACCACAAACCGUCGGCUAUUCUCCUUCCAUUUCCUCCUUCAACCGCGUACCGCCGCCACAACCUCCAAACCCCCACCGCUCAAGCCACCACGCACAAACCUCAAUAAAAAUCCGGUGACGCCGCGUUUACAACCUCCUCCAUUACAUCGCCGCGCCGAAUCCACCUCUCGCUAACCUUCAAGUUUCCGACCACCAUAAUUGUUUUCUUUAACUUCGUUCAUUUAUACAGGAAACAACAGUUUAACCACACACCUGUGCGGCCUCAGUUCAUUUGAAAUUACCUCCACCACGUCCAAAACCGAUAGGUCGUCUUGUUCACCAACAUCGUCUUGAUUCGCCAAAGAUUUCGAUAACACCGGUUUGGGUUUACGAUUUCAAACAACAACAACAUUAACAAUCGAGGGCGACAUUCGAUAUCACGGUAAUAAAAUUCGAGUUUCACGUCGUGUUAUGUUGAUGGUUGUCUCAAUGUAUGAUUUUGGUUCGAUCUCACAAUGUUAGUUAUUAUUUCGCAUUAAUUUUUGAAAACCUUGGAAAAUUCAAAAACAUUAUGCAUACUGAGAUGUUUCUGUAUUAACUUCUUCUUUGGUUGUUUAUUGUUGCCGUAUACAAUGUUUCUGUAUUAACUUCUUCUUUGGUUGUUUAUUGUUGCCGUAUACAAUACAUCUCUUACUUUCGAUGUCGCCCUUUUGAUUAAUGGUUCUGAUUUUGUUCAUCUUUGAAUUGUGGCAAUAUUAUUCAUCAGUUGUUGUAAUAUAAUGUGUUGCCCUUUUGAUUAAUGGUUCUGAUUUUGUUCAUCUUUGAAUUGUGGCAAUAUUAUUCAUCAGUUGUUGUAAUAUAAUGUGUAGUUAGUUCAAAGAUGGAAAUAAUGUGCAUAUAGAUUACAAAGAGGUAAUUGAAAUUUGUGUAGGUUGCUGUAUUGGAAAUAAUUAAUCAAUUUAGAACCUUCCUCAUAGUGUAAUGACACACCGUAAGGAUACCCCUGUCGGUACCUUGGUUUGUUUGGCCACUAUUGAAGAAUGUUAGACCUUACAUUUCUACUUUAGUGGAAUGUUUAAUUUUGGUAGACUUGAGAGAUAUUUAUAUUUCUCUACCAGUACCUUUAAUGUGCUAUCUAUUUGUUUUAUUUUUCAGUAAUCAAAUCUACCUAUGUUAAUGGUUGGGAAAAAUGCAUUUGUGGGUUUAUUAUUUGUAUGCUUUUCUGUACUGUACGUGCCUUACAUACUAAUAUGCACACCUUGUCCAAAUUAUUUAUUUAUUUAUUUUUCUUUCUUUGUAAACAAUUCAUAAAUAUUAUAAUUGGAUUUUCAUUACAUUUUAAAUUGGAGUUCAACCAGUGGAUUCGACCUACAUGUCGUUGUGCCGCUAAGGUUUCUAUAAAUUAAUUAUACAUUUUCACCGCGUUACGUUCUCGCAUAUGGCACAAAUCAUAUUGUCAUUUCGCUCUAACCGGUUUUGAGCAUAUUGUAGCCAAUUCAAUUUGUUUGUUUUUAAGUUGACAUUGUCACUUAUUUCUAUUCCUUUUUGAUUAAAUCAAUUAAUUGAUUAAAGUCAUUACUUAAUUAGUUUAAUUUUGAUUAAUUAAUUAAUCGGAUGAUUUUAGUAAAUAAUUUUGAUAAUUAAUUUUGAUUAAUGAAAUUAAUCAAGUAUAAUUGAUUUAAUUAAUUAAUCGGAUGAUUUUAGUAAAUAAUUUUGAUAAUUAAUUUUGAUUAAUGAAAUUAAUCAAGUAUAAUUGAAUUUUAAUUAACUCCGGUAAUUAAGCAUUGACCAAUUUAUUUUAUCACCUAUAAUCAUUUCAAAACCAAGCUCAUUCAAUUCAAAACCAUUCAAACCAUUUAGAAAAGUCACACAAUUAUUGAUUAAACCUCAAGCCCAUUUUCGAACACCUCGUAAGUCGAUUGCUUUCGUGCAUUGCCAUCAACCUCACAUAGCUUACUCUUGGACUUUCUUACAAUGAGACCUAUUCGAUUUUAAUUAAUGGAGUAGAUGAUCGAUUCACUAAAUAAAUUCAUUUCAUUCAAAACACAAAUUUAAAACCUCGAUCCAAUGUCGAGUAUUUUCAUUCAAAUUAAAUUAAAGUAUCCAAUCACAAUCAAAUACCAUUUCAUUUGGAAAUGAAAAAGGGGAUGGCUUUGAGUUUUCAAUUCCUCUCCUCGAUUAUUUGAAUACGAGUUAUCUUACUCGGUUAGUCAAAUAGUUGUCACUUCCAUCCACCUAAGUACAAUCAAAUCAAAUCAUUUUAUAAUAAGAAACGAAAAGGGAGAUGACUUUGAGUCUUCAAUUUUUCUCCUCGAUUAUUUGGAUACAAGUUCUCUUACUUGGUUAGUUAAAUAAUCGUCGUUCCUCAACAAACUUCUAAACCCGUUUAAAUCAAAUUAUUUUCAUAAUAAGCUAAAUGAAAAGGGAGAUGACUUUGAGUUUUCAACUUCUCUCCUCAAUUGUUUGAAUACGAGUUCUCUUACUCGGUCAGUCAAAAAAUUGUCAUUUUUCCGCAAAUUAAUAAAUCGAUCAAAGCUAUACGAAAAGGGAGAUGGUCUUGGGUUUUCAAUUCCUCUUCUCAAAUGCUUGGAUAUAACUUGUCUUUUAAGUAAUGACUCAGAUGAAACAUUACUCUAAAAAGACCAAUCAUACAUAAACCUAUUUUCAUAAUAUUCAGAUGAAACAGAAAGCAGUCUAGAGUCUUUUAUUCCUUUUCCCGAUUAUUAGGAUACGAGUUGUCUUACUCGACUAUCUGAGUAUUCAUCAUCCAUUCAAAACACCUUAAUUAUUAUCAAAUCCUUUCUAUAAUUAAGAAUGAGGAAGAAAGUGGUCUAGAGUCUUCUAUUCCCUUUUCCGACUGUUAGGUUACGAGUUGUCUUACUCGACUAUCCGAGUAAUCGUCAUCCAACCAAAAGUAUCUUAACCUAUCAAGUUUAUCCUUUCUCGCCCUCGUGUGAUCAAAACCAAUCCAACAAAACGCCCAAUACCUUAAUUCAACUUGUCACCCACGUGUGAUCAAAACUUUUUUCAGAAAGAACACCAUUUAAUCCUUUCUAAUGCACAUAACAAACCAGUGCUUAAGCCUCCGCCGAGAGUAGACAAGCCAGCAUUUAGCCUUUAGGAUGCGAUCUAAGCAAUUGUUCACUAAAAAAACACCAACCAACCAUAGCUCCCCGAACUACGAAUGCUCUGAUUUCCUUAUGAUACCAUAAGGAUACGUAGGCAGGAGAUUGUUGUAUCUUCGCGAGCACACUAAUAAAAAACCUCCCCUUUCCCUUUCUGAGAUUCCCAUCCAUAUCUAUCUCACAAAGUACCCACAACCAUAAGUUUAAGUUGGUGGUUGCGUAGUGGAUGCCCACAAGGAGUCUUCCUUGUUAGGAAGAUACGAAGACCCCGCCUAGAGGGGAUUCUCUUGAGAUAUUAUUGCCCGACGAGUCUUCGUCACGACGAUACUAUUCUCAAGUUGGACCAAUGACUCUAGGGACCUUUUAACCCACUAUAUCCGGCAGUUAUGUAGUAUUAACCUACGAAGUUUCAUACUUGUUGGGUUAAUAUGAAAACCCCAAUUAGAUGAGAUCCCUUGGACGUAUUAUUACCUUACAGUAAUAUUUCCAACCUCGAUCUAUAACUCUGAGAACCUUGUUAGAACCCUGGACUCGAGAGUCGUGUAGUAGAAUCCCCAUGGAGCCUUCCUUGUUGGGACAAUACGAAGACCUCACCUAGACAAGAUCUUCUUAAGGAUAUUAUUGUUCGACGAGUCUUCGUCACGGUAGUGACGUUCUCAAGAAAAAUUUGUGACUCUAGGAACCUACUAACUGUAGAGCCUACCCCUGGGGUUACAUUAAUCAGAGAUACUCAUCAUUUACCCGUUAUUCUGAUCCAUCUGAGAACACUUUGAACCUGUGAUCCUAAACAUGUCACUAUAUUCAUACACAUACCAUUGCAUUUACAUUCAUCAUCAUACAUUUCAUAUCAUUAAAAAUCAUCCAUCUUUCGUCCAUAACCUGCGGUUGAUUUCCCGAUACUAAUAUUAUACUUGAAGUAGCUCUUGAAAGAUCAUGGAUCCGUUGGAGCAAAGCCAUAUUUCACUGAGAGGAGAUGUGGACUCGAUGAAAAAUCAUCUAGACCAACUUGUGGAAGCUAUGAUAGUUUUAGCAAAGAAGGAAGACAACAUUCAGCAGACUGCAGUUGUUGAGAAUGUUAUGCUAGCUACAGUAAAUGGUCUUACCCAACCUCAGCUUGUGCAAAUAUAGUUUUAGCAAAGAAGGAAGACAACAUUCAGCAGACUGCAGUUGUUGAGAAUGUUAUGCUAGCUACAGUAAAUGGUCUUACCCAACCUCAGCUUGUGCAAACCCCAGUUGAUAACUCUACUGUACAAGAACGUCAUGUUGUUCAAGAUUCCUCAUGGCAUGAUGCUGUUGAGUAUCACAGUUUUGCAUUCUCCGUGCCAGAUUCCCAUGGAACAAGCCUAGUGGUUAAUGCUGAACAACCACAAGAUGAUGAGAUUGCUAAAAGAUGUUGCAUGCUAGAGAAAAGACUCAAGGCCAUAGAAAGGCAAGAUACGGUUGAACUGAACGCCUUAGGCAUGUGUUUGGUACCUGACCUGGUUAUACCCCCAAAAUUCAAAGUACCGGAAUUUGAGAAGUACAAAGGGGAUGGCUGUCCAAAGCGCCAUUUGGUGAUGUUUUGUCGAAAAAUGACCUCUCAUGCCCACGAUGAUAAGUUGAUGAUUCACUGUUUCCAGGACAGUUUGACUGGGGCAUCAUUAAGUUGGUACAUGAAGUUAGAAAGGAGUCAUGUUCAAUCAUGGUUGGACCUAGCUAACACAUUCUUUAAGCAAUAUAAAUAUAAUAUGGACAUAACUCCCGACCGCAUGCAGCUAAAAGCCUUAUCUCAGGAAGACAAUGAAUCCUUCAGAGGGUAUGCCCAAAGAUGGAGAGAGUUAGCGGCUUGCAUUGAGCCACCACUCUUAGACAAAGAAUUGAUGGAAUUAUUCAGGGACACCCUGCAAUUCCUUCAGAGGGUAUGCCCAAAGAUGGAGAGAGUUAGCGGCUUGCAUUGAGCCACCACUCUUAGACAAAGAAUUGAUGGAAUUAUUCAGGGACACCCUGCAAAGUCCAUACUUCGAAAGGAUGAUUAACAGCGCAACAUCAGACUUCGCUCACUUAGUGACAAUUGGAGAACGCGUCGAGAGUGCCCUAAAAAGUGGAAGAAUCCAAGGUGCCUCGAGCAACCAAGCUAGCAAGACAGAAUCCCUCAGCGAUUCCCAAAAGGAAGAGGAUGAUGAAAUAAAUGCAGUCAUGGCAAAUGUUGGGUAUUCUCACGAUGCACCAGCCAGACCUUAUGGUUCUUCACCUUUUCAGCAAUCACCAUUUCCAACACCAUGUUAUCCUUAUAGGCAACCGGCAAGGCCUAGAGCACCAUUCAAGCAACCAUGGACUGUUCCUCAUACAGAUCAAAGAUCUCGUGGUCAAGGAUAUCAGAAUCAGCAUCUGAACCAGCAUAGGCCUCGAAACAAUCUUGAAAGAAGGAAUGCUCCUCUCGAUCCAAUUCCUAUGUCAUACAGUCAACUUCUGCCAUAUCUGAUUCAAAGCUCGCUGGUGGAGCCCAAGUCUCUCAGGCCAUUGUCAGAACCAUACCCACCUGGAUUUCUGAUUCAAAGCUCGCUGGUGGAGCCCAAGUCUCUCAGGCCAUUGUCAGAACCAUACCCACCUGGAUAUGAUCCUGAUGUGCAAUGUGGAUAUCAUGCCGGAACAAUAGGGCAUUCAACUGAAGACCGCAAUGCUUUCAAGGAUAAAGUGCAACAAUUGAUCGACAAAAGGUACAUAUCCUUUUCAGAAGGAAGCCUGUUGGUGCACAUUAACCUCUCGUCAGAAUAAGUUCAAAGAUUUCAUAGAGUAUCUCCUAAUGCCAAUAGUUCAGACAAGAAGACAUCCUUAACACUAGCAAUCGUUGGACUGAUUUGUUUCUAUUUUUUGCAUUUGUAGUUUCUUUGUUGUUAAAAGCUGCUUGUGUUUAAACAUUGUUGUUUUUAAUGGUAAUAUUUAUGAAGUAAUGAUGCAUGUUUUGAAUUAAUUAUCUCGCAUUCGCUCAUUUUUCUUCUCUUAUAUCAAAAAACAAAAAAUACAUCAGUAUUUCUCCCAUUCACUGUUCUUUAUCAUAACUUUUGUUUUAGAAAAGAUUUGAGGGAGGAUGACAAAAACAAGAUACCCAUAAUUGCUGACUAUAUGCUUUCGGAUAAAAUCCUGCUAAUGAUGUACAGGCAUUGUUUCAAAUUCCCAAACACUGGAGAGAUAAGGAGUUAACCCCUAGUCCAACACUUCGAGCCUAGAAGUAGGUGUUUCUUUCGGAUAUACAAACCCUUAUGUUUAACCCGGGGCAGGGUAGUGUUCAGUUAAUCUGACUAUGCAUUCAAAUUACAAAAUGAAAUAUCCCGUUUGUGGAUCAACUACAUGACAUUCUUCACACACAUCCUAAAGUGUCGAAGGAACCUUGAAAAAAUCCAAAAGUUAUGACGGUUGUGCUUCAAUGACCAAUGACUUGGCAGUCACAUUCUAAAAAAGGGAAUCAAUGAAAAAGCCCGCUAAGCCGAUACCCCAAAAGGAGACUUAGGCAAAAACCGGGGCAAUCCCGAUGGACUAAAGUUUCAAAAAGCGGUCCAUGCAAAAGUUAGGGAUCAAAACAAAAAUCAAAGGAGGUCACGAAAACCCUAAACAAAAUGAAAACAAGAUUUAGUGACUACCAUAUCAAGAAUCAAAGGGUCACCAAUAUCCAUGAAGAGCGAAAUAAAGUGUCUGUCAUUUCAAGAGAUCUUACACCUGCAAACUCUCUUAAAAGUUGAAUGUGUAUGGUGAAUUAACUGAGCGUAGGACAUGAGUUUAUCAAGAAGAAGGGUGGGUACAAAAACAAUUUUGAGCCUCAUAUCCUUUGUUUCGAUAGCCGUGAACCAGGCCAUGUUACAACCCUUAAAAGACCUAAUUGAAGCAGGGUUUAUUCUGAAAGCAUACUACAACAAGGUUGCGUAAACUGACUCCUAAAAAUUUGCUAAUCUUUUACUUUGGUAUAAUCUUCUUGUUGUAUCCUUCGCAUUGUUAAAUCAUCAUUGCGUUUGGAUUAAAAUGGUUCAUUCGCCACACACUAUCACAUCAUUUGAAUAAUAAUUCUUUUCAAAACCUGCAUAAUAUCGCAUUAAAAUUAACAUUUUUGAAUAAACAAUUUUAACUGCAAGUCAGUACCUGACAUCAGGGAAAUUUCAACAAAGAGCAAUCAGAGAAGCUUGACCAUUUAUCAGAAUCAAGACUACCUCCGAACCUAUGAAUAUGGGGCAUGCCACCUAAACAUCAGUUGAUCGUAGGAAGAUUACUCCAAGAAUUGGCCAGUCUUAAACAAUCUCUAAACAUCUGUUAAUCAGGGGCAAGUCAUUUCAAGAAUCAUUUGAUCCAGAGUAAAUCAUCUCAGAAUUCUAUUAACUGGGGAAGAUCACCUAGAGGUUAGGUUGGCCAGGGGCAAACCCCUUCAAUGUUCAGUCAAGGUGAGUUAAGUCACUUCAACGCUCAUACUGGGGCAAGCUACCUCAAAAGUAUAGAAAAGUAAACCACUAUGAGAGUCGGUUAAUCAAGGAAAAAUAUUUCCAUGACUUUAAAUUUUGGGGCAAGCCAUCUCCAAAUUAUGGUAGAAUUGCUUUCGAAAUCCUUCCGAGGUAAACAUCCGCAAAGACCCAACAAACUGGGGCAAGAUGAGCCACAUAGGAGCAAGUCCUCUCCAUGUUUUCAUGCUAGUCAAUCAAAAAGUUUGGUCACACGUCAGCAACCAUAAAGUUCGAGACAAGUGUCGGGGAAUCAUGAUAUCAUCCCAUAAAACAACCAUCUGGCAGACAGAAGCCUUUCUGCAAGGAACCUUCUCUUCCAAUACCCACGCAGGGGCAUUUUGAAAACCUGCAAAUCAUUACAUAAAUCAUCAUCAUGCAUUAGUCAUGUCACUUUGUCUAAGAUAAAACCAUGCAUAUCAUAAAUUCAUCGGGUCUAACCCCAUAACAUGAACCUGGCAUCAAAAAGCCUUGAAACACAAAAUCUGACACCAAAGCCCAACAUCGCUUGGCCAUUUCAAAGUCCAGUUCUCGUCUGGCAGUUUAUUUCAAAGUCCAGUUCCCGUCCGGAAACUUAUUUCAAAAGCCCAGUUCCCGUCUGGCAAUUUAUUUCAAAGUCCAGUUCCCGUCUGGCAACUUAUUUCAAAAGCCCAAUUCCCGUCUGACAAACCUUUUUCAAAAAAACCAGUUCCCGUCUGGAAAUUUAUUUCAAAGCCCAGUUCCCGUCUGGAAACUUAUUUCAAAGUCCAGUUCGCGUCUGGAAAUUUAUUCCAAAGUCCAGUUCCCGUCUGGCAAACUAUAUCAAAAAUCAGUUCUUGUACGACAAAUCAUUUGCCAAAUACCAGUUCUCGUCUGGUAAAUUAUCUCUUAAUACCAGUUCUCAUCUGGUAAAUUAUCUCUUAAUACCAGUUCUCGUCUGGUAGGUCACCUAUUUCGAUACUAGUUCUCGUCUGGUAGUCAAUUAUUUUCACCAGUUCUCGUCUGAUAGCCUACUUUAAAAAUCAGUUCCUGUCUGACAAACAAAAACAAAUUCAGUCUCGUUUGACAUUUCAAUUAUUUUCACCAGUUCGUGUCUGGUAACAUAUCCUUCCAGUGAUGUCCUCAUCUGGCAGUUCAAUCUCCUUCACCAGUUCUCAUCUGGCAGUUCCCAUUUAAAGUCCAACCUCAUUGGCAAUCAAGAAUUAAACCCUACAAAAACAUCCAAUUACCCAAUUGCAUUGCAGUUCAAUCUCCUUCACCAGUUCUCAUCUGGCAGUUCCCAUUUAAAGUCCAACCUCAUUGGCAAUCAAGAAUUAAACCCUACAAAAACAUCCAAUUACCCAAUUGCAUUCCCACAUGCAUCACACGAAUCAUCCAUACAUGGUUUUCCUACCAAACAGAAAAUUCAAAAAAACACAGUCAUGUCAAUCAUCAGCAUACUCAUGCAUAACACUCCCACAAAAUGGGAAUUUCAACAAAACAAAAAUCAUUUGCAUUCCUACAUGCACAGCCAAAUACCCCCAGCAAAUUGCAUAUUUGCAUACAUCCCAUGCAUGGAAUUCCCACCUAAAGUGGAAUAUCAUACAAAAAUAAAAUAUAAAAUAUCGGGAUCCAAGGUCAUUCAUGUGUAUCUUAGAUGUUUCUCAUUUCAAAAUGAAGUUAUUACCCUGCAUAUGCUCGUGGAAUUAUUUCUCAGCAAAUCCUUUUUCAACUUUAUGAUUAAAAAAUAAUAUUCCCAACAUUUUUCUUCACAGUCAUUGCUUCCCAAGCAAAGGUUACCCUAAAAAGUCUCUUAUGAGCUUUUUCCCCUACAGAGCAUUUCUUGUAAGUCUCCCUCAAAAGGAGUCCUUUCUUAAAAAAAAUCCCCAACAGACGAACAUUUGAGAUACUGCUUCAUUUAUCUGAAAAAUCUCAUUUAUCUGUUUGAGAUACUGCUUCAUUUAUCUGGCGAAUCUCAUUUUUACUAUUUGAGAUGCUGCUUCAUCAAUAUGAAGAGUCUCAUUUUCAGAUUUUUUUUAGAGAUACUGCUCUAAUAUCCUCAGAGAGUCUUAGAUUCAAUUAAGGUAUUUUUCCCUUUUGGCUGGAACAUCUUAAUUCUAUCAUAUAAGAUGCUGCUUCGACUCGAUACAGAGAAUCUCAUUUUUACUAUUUGAGAUGCUACUUCAUCAAUAUGAAGAUCAUUUUUAGAUUUUUUUAGAGAUACUUCUCUAAAUAUCCUCGGAGAGUCUUAGAUUCAAUUAAGGUAUCUUUCCCUUGCUGGGACAUCUUAAUUCUAUCAUAUAAGAUGCUGCUUCGACUCGAUACAGAGAAUCUCAUUUUUACUGUUCGAGAUGCUGCUUCAUCAAUAUGAAGAGUCUCAUUUCAGAUUUUUUAAAGAUACUGCUCUAAAUAUCCUCAGAGAGUCUUAGAUUCAAUUAAGGUAUCAUUUCCUUGCUAGGAAUAUCUUAAUUCUAUCAUAUAAGAUGCUGCUUCGAUUUGAUACAGAGAAUUUCAUUUUGUUGUUUGAGAUACUGCUUCAUUCAUCUGAAGAAUCUCAUUUAUUUGUUUGAGAUACUGCUUCAUUUAUCUGAAGAAUCUCAUUUUAUCUGUUUGAGAUACUGCUUCAUUUAUCUGAAGAAUCUCAUUUUAUUUGUUUGAGAUACUGCUUCAUAUAUCUAAAGAAUCUCAUUUAUCUGUUUGAGAUACUGCUUCAUUUAUCCGAAGAAUCUCAUUUGUCUGUUUGAGAUACUGUUUCAUUCAUUUGAAGAAUCUCAUUUGUUUUCAAGAUACUGCUCCAGUAUCCUCGGAGAAUCUUAGAUACGAUUGAGGUAUCAUUCCCUUGUUGGAAUAUCUCGAUUAUAUCAUGUAAGAAACUGCUCCGUUGAUCCCCAGAGAAUAUCAUGUCUUCUGUUCAAGACAAUGUUCUGCUAAUUUUCAAAAAGUCUUAGAUAUCGUUGAGGUAUCAUUCUAUUAUUGGAAUAUCUCAAUCAUGGCAUCCAAGAUUUUGUUCCGAUGAUUCCCAGAGAGUCUUGACUGUUUCAUUUACCUUCUAAUAAAAACCUUUUCUUACUGUAUUUCUCACUGCAUUUUUUUGCAUUUCUUCCUUGCAUUUCAAAGGACAAAAUUUGGGUCUUUUUGUAUUUAAUUACCUUCCAUUACGAAUGUAUGAAGACUUUUGUCAUUCUUACCUUCUAGUUCAAGAUAAUGAAAUAGGGUCAACUUUCAUACCCCAAUUUCGUCCGGGCAUAUUUAAAUUUUUGUAAAACGGAUUUCAUUUUUAAUCUGCAUCAUAUGCACAGCAUGACAUGCAUUCCAUCAUGAAUAAUAACUAAAAUAUCAGUCAGAAUAAAUUUAUUGAAAAUACAUACAAAUAAGUUGAAUCAUUUCUCAAGAACGUGCAUAAAUUAGCAGGUAAAAAGAUUUUCAAAAUUAAAAUUACAGACACCAGUAUUAUUAAUCUACAGUUCACGUAGUUUAACCUGGUGUGCUCGUUGUUUAUUUUAGCGGUUGUUUCAUUUGCAUUUUGACCCGCCUGAGCCUUUUAACCGGUGAAAAUUUAUUUCAAAAUUUAAAGAAACGUUGUAUUUUUUCAAUAAGUGUAUUCCGCACUGAUAAUUUUCAUGCAUCCGAUUUAAUUUUUCGAGCAAAUUUUCGCCCGACUUUUAUUCAUUUUUAGUCGUUUUAAUUUUAUUCUUUUGCCAAAAUGUUUGGAUUAAAUAAAUAGAAUUUUCCAUGUCCUUAUUUUAUUUUUAUCAUACUCAUUUUAGAAGUUGGAAUUUUUAUUUGAUCCAAUUGAUUUAAAUUAUUUUAAAACGACUAAAUCAUAUAAAAACAACAUUAUAGGCAUUUUAAUUUAUUUAAAUAGUGUGUGCUUCUUGGUGUGCUUCUUUAAAUCGAUCCAGACGAUCAAUUUGAAUUAAUCAAUGGUCCAUGUCAAGCAAUCCAUGUUUUUCCUAGUUCAUCCAAUCAAAAUGUAGAAAUUAAAUAAAUUCGCUAAAAAAUUGUGUCUUCCAAGGACAAAAAGCCAGCUAACCUCCAACGAAUAUAGAGAGAUAGAAAAUAAAAAAAGGGGAUAGGCAUACAUUCCUUUGGCCACACACAGAUUGACUGAGGCUCUCUCACCAAAAGAAAAGGAAAAAAGAAUAAAAAAUAAAAAUAAAGAAAGAGAGGAACAAGAUUGUUCCUCUUCGUCCUCAAUCACACGCUCUCUUCUUCUUCUUCCAACACACAACCGCUCUCCUUCACAAACCAUAGCCAAACGGCCCACCCUUCUUCCCUUAACUGCUUCGUUGAAAUCCCAGCACCUCCGUCGUUCUCACGCGUGACCCUCACGCACACCUCCGUCUUCACGCACACCUCCGUCAAGUCUCAACCUCCCGACAACACAACCACAAACCGCCGGCUAUUCUCCUUCCAUUUCCUCCUUCAACCGCGUAUCGCCGCCACAACCUCCAAACCCCCGCCGCUCAAGCCAUCGCGCACAAACCUCCAUAAAAAUCUGGUGACGCCUCCGCCACAACCUCCUCCACUACAUCGCUGCGCCGAAUCCACCUCUCGCUAACCUUCAAGUUUCUGACCACCAUAACUGUUUUCUUUAACUUCGUUCGUUUAUACUGGCAACAACAGUUUAACCACACACAUGUGCGACCUCAGUUCAUUUGAAAUUACCUCCACCACGUCCAAAACCGAUAGGUCCUCUUGUUCACCAGCAUCGUCUUGAUUCGCCAAAGAUUUCGACAACACCGAUUUGGGUUUACGAUUUCAAACAACAGCAACAUUAACAACCGAGGGCGACAUUCGAUAUCACGGUAAUGAAAUUCGAGUUUCACGUCGUGUUGUGUUGAUGGUUGUCUCAAUGUAUGAUUUUGGUUCGAUCUCACAAUGUUAGUUAUUAUUUUGCGUUAAUUUUUGAAAACCUUGGAAAAUUCAUAAACAUUAUGCAUACUGAGAUGUUUCUGUAUUAACAUCUUCUUUGGUUGUUUAUUGUUUCCGUAUACAAUGUUUUUGUGUUAACUUCUUCUUUUGUUGUUUAUUGUUGCCGUAUACAAUACAUCUCUUACUUUCGAUGUCGCCCUUUUGAUUAAUGGUUCUGAUUUUGUUCAUCUUUGAAUUGUGGCAAUAUUAUUCAUCAGUUGUUGUAAUAUAAUGUGUUGCCCUUUUGAUUAAUGGUUCUGAUUUUGUUCAUCUUUGAAUUGUGGCAAUAUUAUUCAUCAGUUGUUGUAAUAUAAUGUGUAGUUAGUUCAAAGAUGGAAAUAAUGUGCAUAUAGAUUACAAAGAGGCAAUUGAAAUUUGUGUAGCUUGCAGUAUUGGAAAUAAUUAAUCAAUUUAGAACCUUCCUCAUAGUGUAAUGACACACCGUAAGCAUACCCCUGUCGGUACCUUGGUUUGUUUGGCCACUAUUGAAGAAUGCUAUACCUUACAUUUCUACUUUAGUGGAAUGUUUAAUUUUGGUAGACUUGAGAGAUAUUUAUAUUUGUCUACCAGUACCUUUAAUGUGCUAUCUAUUUGUUUUAUUUUACAGUAAGCAAAUCUACCUAUGUUAAUGGUUGGGAAAAAUGCAUUUAUGGGUUUAUUAUUUGUAUGCUUUUCUAUACUGUACGUGCCUUACAUACUAAGAUGCACAUCUUGUCCAAAUUAUUUAUUUAUUUAUUUUUCUUUCUUUGUAAACAAUUCAUAAAUAUUAUAAUUGGAUUUUCAUUACAUUUUAAAUUGGAGUUCAACCAAUGGAUUCGACCUACAUGUCGAUAUGCCGCUAAGGUUUCUAUAAAUUAAUUGUACAUUUUCACCGUGUUACGAUCUCGCGUAUGGCACAAAUCAUAUUGUCAUUUCGCUCUAACCGGGUUUGAGCAUAUUGUAGCCAAUUCAAUUUGUUUGUUUUUAAGUUGACAUUGUCACUUAUUUCUAUUCCUUUUUAAGUAAAUCAAUUAAUUGAUUAAAGUCAUUACUUA
rnacentral:lncRNA from 1 species